rnacentral:rRNA from 1 species
CCUACGGGGGGCUGCAGUAGGGAAUAUUGGGCAAUGGGGGCAACCCUGACCCAGCCAUGCCGCGUGCAGGAGGAAGGCCCUCUGGGUUGUAAACUGCUUUUGGGAGGGGACAAAAAGGCCGUGCGCGGCUCAUUGAGUGUACCUCCAGAAUAAGCACCGGCUAACUCCGUGCCAGCAGCCGCGGUAAUACGGAGGGUGCGAGCGUUGUCCGGAUUUAUUGGGUUUAAAGGGUGCGUAGGCGGCCCCGUAAGUCGGCGGUGAAACCCACGGGCUCA